CAGCACCUCAAGUGGUCAGGAUGAUUAUUGGGCCUAAAGCAUCCGUAGCCGGCUCUGUAAGUUUUCGGUUAAAUCUGUACGCUCAACGUACAGGCUGCCGGGAAUACUGCAUAGCUAGGGAGUGGGAGAAGUAGACGGUACUCGGUAGGAAGUGGUAAAAUGCUUUGAUCUAUCGAUGACCACCUGUGGCGAAGGCGGUCUACUAGAACACGUCCGACGGUGAGGGAUGAAAGCUGGGGGAGCAAACCGGAUUAGAUACCCGGGUAGUCCCAGCUGUAAACUAUGCAAACUCAGUGAUGCAUUGGCUUGUGGCCAAUGCAGUGCUGCAGGGAAGCCGUUAAGUUUGCCGCCUGGGAAGUACGUACGCAAGUAUGAAACUUAAAGGAAUUGGCGGGGGAGCACCACAAGGGGUGAAGCCUGCGGUUCAAUUGGAGUCAACGCCAGAAAUCUUACCCGGAGAGACAGCAGAAUGAAGGUCAAGCUGAAGACUUUACCAGACAAGCUGAGAGGUGGUGCAUGGCCGUCGCCAGCUCGUGCCGUGAGAUGUCCUGUUAAGUCAGGUAACGAGCGAGAUCCCUGCCUCUAGUUGCCACCAUUACUCUCAGGAGUAGUGGGGCGAAUUAGCGGGACCGCCGCAGUUAAUGCGGAGGAAGGAAGGGGCCACGGCAGGUCAGUAUGCCCCGAAACUCUGGGGCCACACGCGGGCUGCAAUGGUAACGACAAUUGGUUUCGAAUCCGAAAGGAUGAGGUAAUCCUCAAACGUUACCACAGUUAUGACUGAGGGCUGCAACUCGCCCUCACGAAUAUGGAAUCCCUAGUAACUGCGUGUCAUUAUCGCGCGGUGAAUACGUCCCUGCUCCUU
rnacentral:rRNA from 1 species